CUACCAUGGCUUUCACGGGUAACGGAGGAUUAGGGUUCGAUUCCGGAGAGGGAGCCUGAGAAACGGCUACCACAUCUAAGGAAGGCAGCAGGCGCGUAAAUUACCCAAUACUGAUUCAGUGAGGUAGUGACAAGAAAUAGCGGGCCGGCCACGUGCCGGGACUGAAAUGAUUAGAAUUUAACGACCUUUACGAGGAACAAUUGGAGGGCAAGUCUGGUGCCAGCAGCCGCGGUAAUUCCAGCUCCAAUAGCGUAUAUUAAAGUUGUUGCAGUUAAAAAGCUCGUAGUUGGAUUUCUGGCAGUGUGACUCCGGCCGGCAUGACGUCGGGUCCAGAGCGCGCUACCAUCCUUCUGUCAACCUUUUCGGGAUUCAUUUCCCGGUCUGGGGCUCAGAUAUUUUACCUUGAGAAAAUUAGAGUGUUUCAGGCAGGCUUUCGCCGGAAUACAUUAGCAUGGAAUAAUGGAAAAGGACUUCAACCUCUUCUGUUGGUCUGAGAGGCUGUAGUAAUGAUUAAUAGGGAUAGUUGGGGGCAUUAGUACUUGACUGUCAGAGGUGAAAUUCUCCGAUUUGUUAAAGACUAACUUAUGCGAAAGCAUUUGCCAAGGAUGUUUUCAUUAAUCAG
rnacentral:rRNA from 1 species